UGAAACAUCUAAGUACCUGAAGGAAGAGAAAGAAAUUCGAUUCCGUAAGUAGCGGCGAGCGAACGCGGAUUAGCCCAAACCAAUAAAGUUUUCUUUAUUGGGGUUGCGGACAUAUCAUAACGAAGAGAUAUCGUAAUUGAAGAGGUUUGGAAAGACCCACCACAGAAGGUAAUAGUCCUGUAUGUUAAACGAGAAGACUUUA
rnacentral:rRNA from 1 species